rnacentral:lncRNA from 1 species
AUGUAUGAAGCAGCGUGGGGUGGGAGAAUAGCCCAUCCUUCAGCUUCAGCUAAAGUAGGAGGAGUGGGUGAGCCACUCUGUCUAAUGACUUAUCCUGGUGUUUUUCUUUCUAAAGACUUGAUGCUGGAGAGUAUAAGUGAUAGAAGUUACGAGGAGACUCAUCCAGGUUUGGCUAUCCGUCCCAAGCGCUGGACCACAAAAAUAUGGAGAUGGACCAAAAUUUGGCGUGCAGGAAAUAAAGGAUAGCCGAAGGCCAUCCACACAGUCACUCCGUUUCUGCCCUCCAAGACAACAAGGUCCAAGACAACAAGGUCACACUGGUGUGUCUCAUCAGUGACUUCUCAGGUGCUGUGAUGGUGGCCUGGAAGGCAGACGGCACCCCCAUCACCCAGGGCAUGGAAACUACAAAACCCUCCAAAUAGAACAACAAGUACGCAGGCAGCAGCUACCUGAGCCUGACCAGUGGAGGUCCCACAGAAGCUACAGCUGCCAGGUCACGCAUAAAAGGAGCACUGUGAAGCUGACAGAGACCCCUGCAAGAUGUGCUCAGGCCCCUGACCCUCACCCCAUCCAUAGGGUGCUGGAGCUGCAGGAUCCCAGGGCAGGGGUCUCCUCUCUCAUUCCAAGGCAUCCAGCCCCUCUCCCUGCAUCCAAGUAACCCUCAAUAAAUAUUUUGAAUUAGAAAUCCUGUUCCA